CGCCGGGGCCCUGUGACGUCACCGCUGGCUCCAGCCGGCGGCCGGCGCCGCCUGCCCCGGGGAGCAGAAAUCGAUCAACCCUCACCCCUGGCAGUCCCCGAGUCGACCCCCGGUGGAGUUCCGGGCCUCCCGUCUUUCGUUUGGUCAUUCGUGUAACUCCACCACCGGUUCGAGAUUCUUUUACAGUCUCGUUGGUGUUUUGCAGAAUUUAAACCGCUUCCAGUGUGCAACCAUCCUCUAAGGCAGGAGUCCCCAACACCCCCCACCCCUCAUUAGGAACGGGACCAUACAGCAGGAGACCCUCAUGACUUCAAUCAACUCAAGUUUGGACUCGGUGAUCACCCACGCCCCUUCAUGAAUACGCAUGUAACCUUAGCUUAAAACAUCCCCCCUUUUGCUAUUUAGAGAGACAUUGUCUUGGGGAAUAUCCACCAGAGUUCUCCUUACUUGCUGCAAGUAAUAAAUCCUUUCU